rnacentral:lncRNA from 1 species
CUACAAAUUAUUAUUAAGGAUAAUAUUGUCUUUGCACAGUCAACUAACGGUCAAUGUUAAAAUUAACUGACGGUAGGGGGUUUUUUACAAAUAAAUCAAUUCUCGCCAUCUACUUGCAACAAGGCCAAACCUCAGGGGAGAUUUUUAAAAAUUACCCUUCUUUAGCCCGUGCAUUCUAGGUUUGUUGUAACAAACCCAGAAUUUUCCCGCCAAUCAAAACCGUUAUAACGGCUUACCGAAAACGAGCUCGUGAUGAGAUUAAUAGGACUGAUCAAAACGACCUUUCAACUGUGCCGUUUAGAUCUUAUGCCCGUUUUGAAAAGCACACGUGAUAAUCACGAGCAUCACUUAACGGGAAACAACCGACAUUGCAAGUUUGUCAUCUAUCCAGAUUACACAUGUAUUGACAAGUCGUACAUAUCUUAAUACACAGAAUGACAUAUCGGCACCUUCUAGAUUUUCAGUUUUAAGCUUCACACUCUUACAAAAUCGAUUAUAUCUUUGCUAAUUUUAUCAAAAUACUAUUUAAAAAU